CACGCAGGCGGUUUCUUAAGUCCUUUGUGAAAGCCCGGGGCUCAACCCCGGAAUUGCAUCGGAUACUGGGAGACUGGAGACUGGUAGAGGCUAGCGGAAUUCCUGGUGUAGCGGUGGAAUGCGUAGAUAUCAGGAAGAACACCUGUGGCGAAGGCGGCUAGCUGGGCCAGUUCUGACGCUCAUGUGCGAAAGCGUGGGGAGCAAACAGGAUUAGAUACCCUGGUAGUCC
rnacentral:rRNA from 1 species